CCUACGGGAGGCUGCAGUAGGGAAUUUUGCUCAAUGGGCGAAAGCCUGACGCAGCAACGCCGCGUGAUUGAUUAAGCCCUUCGGGGUGUAAAGAUCUUUCAGUGGGGACGAAACUUGAUGUUACCCACAGAGGAAGCACCGGCUAACUCCGUGCCAGCAGCCGCGGUAAUACGGAGGGUGCAAGCGUUGUCCGGAAUCAUUGGGCGUAAAGAGUUCGUAGGUGGCAUAGUAAGUCUGGUGUUAAAUGCAGAGGCUCAACUUCUGUUCGGCACUUGAUACUGGUAAGCUUGAAUGCGGUAGAGGUAGGGGGAAUUCCUGGUGUAGCGGUGAAAUGCGUAGAGAUCAGGAGGAACACCGGUGGCGUAAGCGCUUUACUGGGCCGUAAUUGACACUGAGGAACGAAAGCCGGGGUAGCAAAUGGGAUUAGAUACCCUUGUAGUC
rnacentral:rRNA from 1 species